rnacentral:rRNA from 1 species
AUUGAACGCUGGCGGCAGGCCUAACACAUGCAAGUCGAGCGCGAAAAUUCCUUCGGGGAUGAGUAGAGCGGCGGACGGGUGAGUAAUGCGCAGAAAUCUGCCCAGUAGUGGGGGACAACCUGGUGAAAACCAGGCUAAUACCGCAUACGCCCUACGGGGAAAGCAGGGAUCUUCGGACCUUGCGCUAUUGGAUGAGUCUGCGUCGGAUUAGCUUGUUGGUGAGGUAAUGGCUCACCAAGGCGACGAUCCGUAGCUGGUCUGAGAGGAUGAUCAGCCACACUGGGACUGAGACACGGCCCAGACUCCUACGGGAGGCAGCAGUGGGGAAUAUUGGACAAUGGGCGAAAGCCUGAUCCAGCCAUGCCGCGUGUGUGAAGAAGGCUCUAGGGUUGUAAAGCACUUUCAGUGGGGAAGAAAGCUUGUUAGCUAAUAACUGACGAGUGUGACAUUACCCACAGAAGAAGCACC